UAACCCACUGAGUGAGGCCAGGGAUGGAACCCACCAACCUCAUGGUUCCUGGUCAGAUUUGUUUCCACUGCGCCAGGAUGAGAACUCCUGUCCUGUUUUAUUACUUUAUUAUCCCCUCUUAUUAUUAAACGUUUUAUUACUUUUAAGACAGAUAGUCUUACUUUGGGUCACAAAUACAUCUAGUUGCCAUUGUUUUAUAUGGACCUUCUUUAUUUAUUUUACUUAACUGGCCCAUGUAGUGCUGUGUUUGUAGCCCCUGGUUUAGAUUCCAAGAAUGUGUCUUCAGAUAAUCUUUAAUAAAAUGUAUUUAAAUUUACACAUACAUAAAAGAGUUUAUUAAACGAAUAUAAAUCACUUGAGUUGGAAUAUAUUAUAGUAGGGUUCUGAUCCCAGCACUUCCAUCAAUUAAUUGUUUGGCCUUGGAAAAAUAUUUCUUGACUCUCGAGUCUUACUUUUUCAUCUCUUACCGAAGGUUUUGGUUUCUUCUAUUGAGUUCUAGGAUGUCACAAAUAAAUUAAAAUCAAGAUUUAAGGAAUUUUAACACAAAAGACAAAUUUGUUCUGUCUCACAUUCAACUCUGUUAUCCAUCACUGCUUCAUUUAAUACAGGAAUUCUGUGUCUUGUGUAUCUUGAAUAUUUUACUUUUAGUUUUAGUGUUGAGACUUUGUUGCAAUGCUUCUUUCUAGUAGUGCUUAUAUCUUUUGAGUUGUUCUGAUAUGACUUAUUUGUUUGAAUCUUCUGUUCCAGCCUCAGAAUUUCAUGAUUAUGUUUGCCUUUUCAAAGAGAAGGUGCUUGACCUUUGUGUUAGCUGUCUGUCUCUGUAGGGCAUGGAACAUUAGACACGUACACUAAGUACUGAAAAUAUUACCGUAGACCUCACACAGAAGAAUCAGUACUGCAGAGAGGGCAGCAUUCACUAAAGAAGUCCAGAGGAGGGAGUCUAAUUCUGGAAAUUCUGCGGUAGACCUGAGAAGAUGUUGGAGAUUUUUAGCAGAUGGAGGCGAAAUGGAGCAGUGCUAUAGGAGAAAGAAGUGCUGUGAACAAAGGUAUUACAUGCAGGAAAACUGGGAAUGUUUGUAGGAGAAGGAAGUGUUGUGAACAAAGGUAUUAAUGCAGGAAAAUUGGGGAAUGUUUGGAAAUCUCUAAAAUUUUAGUUUAGCAUGACUAUAUUCUGAGUUAAAAGCAGUUUUGGGAUGUCAGGUUGGGAGGAUAAGGCAGAUUUUGUCUAGUUCAUGAAUAUUCUUGAAUUUAAGGUUAAGAAUUUAGGGAGCUUUUGCUUUAGGUUGUGAGUAUCCUUUGAAGGCUUUAUUACUCAGACUUUAUUGGUUGCACAUGAUAGAAUCCAAUUCUAAAUCUCUUAGUUGCAUAAAGGACAAUGUAUUGGCUCAUAUAACUGAAAGUCCCAGAGUGGUUGGCUACAGGCAAAGCCGGAUCCAGUGGUUCAUUAGGCUUCUUGUUUUCUUGACUCUACUUUCCUCUGGCUUGGCUGUCUCCAAAUAGAUUUCUCUCAGAGUUAAGUUUACAUCUCACCAGCUUAGUUAUUCUAGCUGAAAGUGAGUGCUCCUCUUUUGGUAAAUGUAACAAAAGUUCCAGAUCGAGUGAAAGGACUUUUUAAAAACCUUAAGGUCUUUGAACUUGUUACUGUGACAAAAGGCAUCUAAUGUCAUGAUUGGCUAGGCCUGGAUCACAUGGCCACUUUGGGAUCAACCUCAUUCAAACCUUAUGAACUGAGCACAAGAGAGCAAGAGGGAAAUUGCAUUGUUGUUAUUUAAAAAGGAGGAUACAAUGUUUUGCAUACAAAACAUGGUGAGUACUACAGUCAAAUAUGGGAGUGAGGUAAGGAAAGCUGUGCAUGGGACAAUUACAGCAAUAUAGGAUGGAGACCAUGGAUGAAGGUAGAGAUGGCUGUUGGAUUCUUAACAUCUAAUGUAGAAAUAGUGAGAUACUGAAUAAGUAUAAUGAUAGUAGGAAUGCAAAAUAGUAAAGGAAUUAGCAAUAUGAAGGGUACUUGUGUUGUUUGCAUUUCACUAGUAAUAAAAUUUGUUUAGGAGCCAAACUGAAAUUUACCCUCAUCCUGUCUAUGAGAAAAGAAUUUGGGAUACAAAUUAAUUUAGGCAAAAAUCUCAGAGAUUACAGUUUAAAUAUUUUAGUAGUUACAAUUAUUUUAAAAAUAGCUGGCCAAUUGUAAAUCACCCAUAAAAUUAUUACAUCAGUGUGUUUACUUUGGCAACAUUUUAAAUUACUCCAUGUAUUUCAAUGUAUCAAAACCUUCUUUUCUUAAAAAAAAUAAUGUAACUCUGCCUUUUUUUCUAUUUAAAUAAAAUUUACAGUGUAUAUGAUAUAUACAUGUAUGUGUGUGUAAUAUGUACAUAUACAUAAUCAAUAAGUGAUUCAAUGCUUGGUAUUUAACUUCUCAAACUUAUCACCCCUCCCACCUCAAAAAAGGGAAAAGUCAGGUAUCAAGUGCAUCUCUAGAGUUCUUAUUUUAUGUUAAAUCCUGAAGUGAAAAUGAAUGAGUGAAGCUUGUGUUUGCUUCUCUACUCAGUACAGAAAAGUCAGUCUCUUUCUCACUGGUCUGGACUAGUGAGGCACACAUUUGAAGAACACACAUACUUCAUGCCAGACACAAAUGAUAAAAAGAUGGUAAGGCAGUAUGCUUUAGGAAUGGAGUUUUUUCUCUUGAAUAUAGUUCUAUUCCUUUUAUUUAUUUUCUCCAGUACUCUUUGGACAAUAUUCACUUGAAUCAGCCUUUCUAAAGCAGUUAUGUUUCUAGGAAAACCCCUCAUGCUUGGUAACCUGUCUUUGCCUACAAUAGUAGAUACACAAUGUAGGGGAUUUUUAGCCCAUGGUUUCUCUGUGCAUCCAGUAUUGAUACAGAUAUUUAUUUCUAUACAAACUGUUUUGGUGGGUUCAAAAAUUUUUAGAAAAUGAAAGUGGAUAAGACUAUGAACUAGUUUUUGUCAUUAUGCUUUUUUUUUUAAUUCCAUCGUAAGCUUAAAUAAAAUGAAAGAAAUUUCGUGAAUUCCAGUUAUAUUAAAGGCAUAUGUUAUUCGUAUCGUGUGUGUGUGUGUGUGUGUGUGUGUGUGUGUGUGGCAUUUGUAUGGUAGUUUCUCAUUCAGAUGUAGCGAUUCUUAGCUUUCGUUUUGCAACAUUGCCGAGUGUCUUCAAUUUUCUCAAAGGAGAUUUUUUUUUUUUUAAACUUUUAAAAACAAAACCAUCAACUCACUUUUAUUGAGAAAACAUUUUCUAUACCAUUUUAUAAGGGGAUUGCUGACAGGAAUUCAAGCAAUAGCUCAGUGCCAUUAUCACCAAGGUUUGGGAAUCCUUGAUUCUUAUGAUGGUUGAAAUGAGAUUAUAACUCAGGAAUUCAUAAAAAGUGAUUAGUAAAACUAUGCAGUCGUCUUAGUAGCAGUAUUAUUAUUUUUACCGAAUGCUCAAAAAUACUUAAUGACAUUUGUAUUUUAUUUGCAAGUAUUUUUUUUUUAAAUAUAAGAGAAGAUAAGUAGAGGUUAAGAAUUAAAGUCUUUUUGGUUCUGAAAUUUGAGUAUUGAGUAUUUAAUAUGUAAGGAGAGUUUAUGUUAAGUAAUUGUUUUUUUGUCUGAUUUUGGUGUUUAGAACUGGGCGUAGAAAAAAGAAGAUACACAUACACAAACACGCAAGAAGGAGGAACAGUGGCAAUUUUAGAGUAGAACUACCUGAAAAACAUUCAGGCUUUUGGAAACAUGAUCUUAGUAUUUGCCUUCUUUCAAUCAGUUUUAUUUUAGAUAAAAUGCUGACAGAUGGUAGUGAUCCACUUGAACAGUGUUGAGUUUUCUUUCUUUUUUUUCCCAUGGAAAAAAGCUCCCAGAAAACUUUUAUUCUUUAAUAUGUUCAACAUGCAUAUGUUUUACAUGUAUUAACUGGUAUUAAAAAUGCAGUUUCUAAUUAGAUGUCUAAAUCCGAGAGGAGUUGUGGUGAGUAUUAGCCUCUUAGAAUUUCUGAAAAAGAAAGUUUUGAUGAAUAGGUUUUUUUUUUUUUUUUUUUUUUUUGCUAUUGCAUCCUUCAGCCCACUCUAGCCCCAGAAUCUAAGGAAUUUGAAUUAUCAAUGUUUUUCAGCUUUUAUGUUCAAAUUUCAACUAUAUAUUGUCAUGUUUGAUGAUAAAUCUUUAAGAUACUGAUUUAUGUCAAACCUUGGAGAAUUCAAGGUAUUUAUAUUCUAUUAUGAUCUGUUUUAUAUUACAGCAAAAAAUUAAUACUUAAGUUAUUAAGGAUUUAGGGUUUAGACUGGUGUAAGUAGUUACUCACUUGAUAUGUCUUAGGUUUUAGAAAAAUUGUAGGAAAUCUCCAAAGUAAUAUUGCAACCUGGUUUUGUUUGGUAUUUUUGUUUUACAUUUUAAAUUGUGGGGGUGACGGGGAAACCCCUUCUCUACCUAGUUAUCUGUAUGAGUCACCUGAAAUCUUCCUUCUAAUGGAAGUUAAUGAAAUGGUGCCCUUGAGUCAAUAUUUCCACAUUUGCAAUUUAGAAUAUUCAGUUUGAGCUCAUCAGCAUUCAUUUUCAUUUCUGUUUUACUUUUAAUUUGUCAUGCAGUUUUUUUUCAACUGGUGAGCACAUCAAACCAAGAAUGACUUUUUUCUUCAUAGACAUGGAGUGUCCGUUGUUCUCUCGCUUAAUUUGGUCUUGCUGACUAAUGUGGUAUUUGUUCACAGCUCCAAACCACAGAUUAGGCACAUAGAUAUUGACUAAUCCCAACUUACAGAUAUUAUCCCCACAAGGUGAAUUCCUUCAGUGCUUGGGCAUUCCUAGGAACGGUGGGUUUUGAUUUUCUCUUGUAUCUAUUACACAUUUUAUUACAUAAUAGCUGUGAGGGAGCAGGAGGGAGCACUGGACUAGAAGUCAGAGGAACUGAGUUCAAGGCAUCAUUCAGCCACUAACCUUUCUAAAGGCAAAUCACUCUUUUUCUGUAUCUGCAUUUGCAAAAACAAUGAAAAUAAAAAAUAACACCCUUCCCAUUUAUCUUCAGGGAUGUUAAGAGGAUCAAAGGAGAAUAUUUUGUAAACUGAAGAAUAAGAUGCUGUGGUGAAGUUAGAAUUUGUGCUGUUCUGUGUAACUCAUUUGCUCUGAUAUUUUUAAGUUAUUUAAUUUCUAGUCUUUAUCUCUUUUAAAAUGUAAGGAGAAGAAAUGGCAUGAAAUUAACACCUUAAUAAAAAAAAUAAUGCUUAAAGAGUGUUUGACCCAUGGGCACAAUAUGCUACUGUGUUUGUUCCUUGAUACAGAUGGUUCAUAGUGAUUGGGUUGGGAGAGAUGAUAGUGUGGAUAUUAUUCACAGAUUUUUGGUUUCUGUUUAUUUUAGUUCUGGUAUCAAUUUUGAUUUAUGGCUGAACAGCAACAAUGAAUUAAAUAUUAUAGUUAAAAUAGUGGUUAUAUUUAUAUUUCUGUAAUUAGAAAAAGUCAAAUAAUAAUUCACCAUUUUCUUCAACUAAUAUUUGUAUAAUGACUCAUGUUUGAUAAGGUACUUUGCUAGGUACCUGAUUUGAAAGUAUGUAAAAGAAUGCUUUGUUUACGAAAAGGUAAGUUGGAGGGUGGUUGAAUUGCAUCCUUAUCUUAUAAUGACUAAAGUAUUAAAGACAAUAAAAGUGUACAUUUGCCUCAUGGAUCUGAAGGUUUUACAAUAUUUUUUAAAGAAAAGUAUUUUAAACCUAUGAAAAAAUGACUAAUUUUCAAAUACAAAAUAGUUAUUUCACAUAUAUAGUAUCAUCUCUUUAAAACCCCAGAGCAAAUAAUUAUGUGAAUGUUUGAACAUGCAGAAAUCUCACAUUAAUUUUAAUAAAAGAAUAACAACUGAAUAUCAUAACUGCCAAAAAAUAUUUGUUAAAUGGAAAUAAAUGUUCUGAUAUUUUCUUCAAGUUGAUAUGAUUUUAGUAAGCAUAACAAAAGUUUCUUUUCUUGUUCACAAUAGAAAUGAUCAUUUUGGGAGUUCCCGUCAUGGUAUAGUGGAAAUGAAUCCGACUAGGAACCAUGAGGUUGUGGGUUCCAUCCCUGGCCUCGCUCGGUGGGUUAAGGAUCCGGUGUUGCUGUGAGCUGUGGUGUAGCUUGCCGAUGCAGCUCAGAUCUGGCAUUGCUGUGGCUGUGGUGUAGGCCGGCGGCUGUAGCUCCAAUUAGACCCGUAGCUGGGAACCUCCAUAUGCCUCGGGUGUGGCCCUGAAAAAAAAAAAAAAGACCAUUUCACAUUUCAGGUUUCAGGUCAGCUGUAUCAUAGGU